rnacentral:lncRNA from 1 species
CAACCUCUACGACCCUUGCUUUUCCGGUGGUGGCGAGUAGCGCCGGUGCCGGAACCCCUAGUUUCCUCUUUCGUUUUGCCUCUCCUUGCUUCUCUCAUCAUGAAUCGAUAUAUCUUUUUCUCUGGAUUUGAAUUUGGUGUGGAUCCGCUUCUCAGAUGUUAGAUCUGGUGAAAAAAUGAGAUUUUGUUUAGGUGAGGGUAAGGAGGGGUCGGCUAUGGUUAACGAAGCGAUUUUCUCUUCAGUUCUACUUUCGGAGAGGGCUCAUAUAUCCGGCUAGACAUAUAGCCUCCGGAUCUAGUUGUUGGACUAGAUGUGGAUAUAUCUUACAGAUCCAUGGCGGCAGGGUGAAGAGAAAGACGGUGGAUGAGUUUCGUCGGAGCUCCCACCGUAGCUUCUUCUCAUACCUAUCUUUGGGUUGGGAAGCUUCUCGCCCUUCUCUCUCAGACGGUGGUGUGUGCCCUUGUUUCUCGAGAUCGUCUGUCACUGCGAACCAGCACCGGCAACAGUUGGUGUUUGUGCUUCUUCCUCUCAUCUAUUAUUGGUGGUCUCGCGACAGCUCGGUGACGAUUCCGAUGUGGACAGCUUCUGGAUCUUUUUCUAUUUCUCUUAGUUAUGGUUUUGUUUAUGGAGUUUCUGGUAGGCAGAUUAUCUUAGCUGUGGUGUACCUGUUGGUUCCUCCUGCGUGUUUCAUGGUAUUGUCAUGCGUGUUUCAUGGUGUUGGUUCUUGGAGUCUAUCGGUGGUUAGUGCAGCGACAUAUUCAGUUGCAAAAUUAUCUCCGGGUUAUGGUGGUUGCAAGAAUCUUUCGUCGUUUUGGUGUGUUAUUGUUUAUUCUGGUUUUCAGAUGUGAGCGGCGAAGCUUGGUUGUGUGGAGGUUUUGUUGGACUUCUAUCUAGAUGCAAAAGUGGGCGUCAAAGAGUGCGUUCAAGCCGUAUCCGAGAGAUGUUUGGAUUGUGAAGCGAUCUCUCUAGUUGGGUUAUGAAGUCUUGGUUCUGAGUUACGAGUGGGGAUGGUAUCGUUUGGCAGGCCAUAGGCGGCAGCGAUAGAUCCGGGUUGAGAAGGCGCGAUGGGGUCUUCGGGUUCUACAAGUGGAUGGUAUCGUGUGGCGUGCCAAGUGCAGCAUCGAUAUAUCCAGAUUCUCGUUACCUGCUAUUUAGCUUGGAGGUCUUUUGCACUGUUUGUUGCAUACUUUUGUGUAGUUAUGUAUUGUUAUUUUGCUUGUUAAGUUGGUGUUCAAAAGUUACUCCGGUGUGGGUUCUAGCUGCCUGUUCUUUGGGCUCUUGUCUCUGGGGAUGUUUUGUAUCCGCCAGCUUAUGUAUUGAACUGUCGUACUUCAGUUAUGAAUGAAUUUCAAUUUGGGAAAAAAAAAAGUAUUCAAUUCUAGCAGGUAGGUGCGAUAGUUGAAUGCUACAUUCACAUGAUAACUUUAAGAAAUAAAUGUUAGUACAUCAUAUAGCUAGAGAGUUGAAUAAUACCUCAAGUGAAGAGUGAAGUGAAUAUUUGAACUAAAUGAAUUUGCGUACAAAAAUAAUUGGAAAACGGGACUAAAUUAAUUAUUAUUUAAUUAAAAUAAGUUGGAUUUGACAAAAACAAUUAAUAAAAAAACAAGUUUGACUCUUUUUCAAUCAGAGUUGACAAACAAACCAACCGCUCAGCAACAAACACGAAGAAGGCGGUUAACAGGAUACGAUUACAAACGCCGAGAGAAUCACCACUACGUCGCCGGAGAUUUACAACUCAGAGUGAAAAAUUUGCGGCGAAGUUGAACGGAAGGAGAUUCAUACUUAUACGAGCAGAGAGGUAAGUGCAGAUUUCAUCGAAAUCGAGUCUUCUCAGAGAAAAUCAAGUGUGUAUAUACCGUAUCGUCUCUUUUAUUAAAACAAAAAGGCAUAACGGUAUGCCGUGAUUUAUGAAUGCAUGCUUUCAAGUUUAAAAAAAAGGCAUAACGGUAUCAUCAUGUCGCAUGUAAGAUGAGCUAUAUUUUCCUGACUAAUUAAUGUAUUUAUUUACUUUCUCUUGUAAGAAAAAGUAUUUCAAAAAUCAAACAAAAUUACAAAUAUAUAUAACUUCGGCUUUGUUUUGAUUCACUAAGAGGCAUCUGUUUGGUUUUAAACAAAUUUGACUAAAACGUUUCUUAUGAAUCAAAGGUUUAGUUUAGUUUACACACUUUGGUUCUGUCAGUUGCCCAUAUGAAUAUAUGAUUAUAUCAAAUUUUGAUCGGUAGAAAACAUAAUUCUAAAGAACAACUCUAUCCAACCGGUUUACAUGGGAAAACAACAGUUCCAUUUUUGUUUGGUUUGGUUUAUUGGCGAUGAAGUUCUAUAAAGAUGUGUAGAUCCAAUGUGUAUCGGACCGGACAUCCCUUGGGAUCUUGUAAGGGCCAUCAGGCCCAUGAUAAAUAGUUAAUAUUCGAGCGAAUGUAGUGAAAGUUUUAGCAGCAUAUUUAAUAUAGGUCUCAAGUUUGAGAGAGAAAGAGAGAGCUCAGAAGAGAGAGAUGGGAGAGAUUGUGUUUACGGAGAAGCAAGAAGCUUUGGUGAAGGAGUCUUGGGAGAUACUAAAGCAAGAUAUCCCCAAAUACAGUCUUCACUUCUUCUCACAGUAAUCAUAUCUACAUAAAACCUUUAUACAAAUCUAUGUAUGUUGUUUAUAUAUGUGAGGUUGUAAACAAUAUAAUGAUGUAUAUAUAUAUAUAUAUAGGAUACUGGAGAUAGCACCAGCAGCAAAAGACAUGUUCUCUUUCUUAAGAGACACAGAUGAAGUGCCUCACAACAAUCCUAAACUCAAAGCUCAUGCUGUCAAAGUUUUUAAGAUGGUAUUUACUUACCCCCCUUUUGUGAUAUACAUGAUACAUCUACUGAUCUACAUAUAUAUACGUUUAUAUAUGUGUAUCACUUACAUAAAGAAUCGUAUCAUAAUCUUCAUUGCACCUCUUAGAUUAUAUUUAAAAUGGUUUCAUUAUUACAGCUAAGAAUCUUUAUUGACUCUUCAAAUAGUGUUGUCUAUUUUAUAUUGGCGUAGCCAUGUGCACACGAUAUUGCGGUCUAUCUUGUUUGGACUUAGCUAGUUGCUUUUGUCCUGUUCUUGGAGAUAAUAUAAUAAAUUCUAUUUUAGUAAAGAAUAAUUAAUAUGUAUUGGCUCAUUCAUAAAAUCCACCAAAAACAAACAUUACAUCGAUUCCUAUCAACAUAUAAGCCUUACUGAAUAAUACAAGUGGUUCGGUUCGGUUUGCUUUCUGGAUUUUUAUUUUUGUAUAGGGGGAUUAAGUAGGAUAGUAAACCAUUGUUUUAGUUUUGCUAAAAGCUAUCAAGCUCAAAUUUUGUAACCAUUAAGAUUAUCAGUUUUUUUCUUUUCUUGGGGGUGUAGACAUGUGAAACAGCAAUACAGCUGAGGGAGAAAGGCAAAGUGGCUGUGCCUGACACAACCAUCCAAUACUUGGGUUCUGUUCAUCUCAAAAGUGGAGUUCUUGAUCCUCACUUUGAGGUCUCUUUUAAUCAAUUAACUAAUGUUUUUCGUUGAUUUUUCAACAAAAAGACGUUUAAUAAAUGCAAGUAUGUGAAUUCAGGUGGUGAAAGAGGCUUUGGUGAGGACACUGAAAGAAGGAUUGGGGGAGAAGUACAAUGAAGAAGUGGAAGGAGCUUGGUCUCAAGCUUAUGAUCACUUGGCUUUAGCCAUUAAGGCCGAGAUGAAACAAGAAAACUCACAGAAACCGUGAAUAUCAUUUGGGUAUAUGCUCAUAGAUGGUGAAUCUGUGUGCACAAGUAUAAUAUCAAAUCAUCUUUGUGAAAUUUAUCUCAACUACUUUUGGUUCUUUCUUAUACAGAGCUACAUGACACUCAAUAAAUUAAAAAAAUAUACCUCUGGCUACUGUUAACCGAAUAAAUUUAUGUCUGCUGAUCUUGGUUUGGUCCAUUUCAGAGAGUUUAUAUCGCUGAAACAAUCUGCAGAGACAAUGGCUUGAAGAACUUAAGAGACGAACAUGAUUUAAACAAGAGAUCAAAUAUCUUAACCAGAGGAGGAAUUCAAUGUAGUGAAGAGUCUUUAAAACAAUAUCAAAGAUUUCGAACCUGUUCUUGCUCAGACAUGAACAAAAUCACAUUAUCUUUGUUUGUUUUUCCUUGUUCUCCAAUCUCAGAGGGCUUACGCGACAGUGUAGGCUCUGAUUACCUCAAGGAUUGGCGCUCUACACAACGGGCAUUUCCCUCCAGUUCUGACUAGCUCGUUACCGCAGUUUGAGCAAGUGCACAUGUGCCCGCAUCUACAGUUUCACAAAGAUAUGAUCAGACUAUGGUUUUCGGUUAUGUAAAUCACGAACAAACCGGGUUUGAGGAAACAAUCUACCUGUACAAGAGGGCAUCUAUGUCAGUAUCACAGCAGACACAGCAAGUCCCGUUCCUUACAUGACCCCAUCUCGACCCAUCCUCGGAUGUUCCUGCUCCAAGACCUGAUGACAUUAUCCAUUUAGUUAACAGAUAGUUCCAUAUGACUAGGAAUGAAAGUUUGGAUAGAAAAGGCAAAAACCUUGGUCACCGGGAGAUCGGUUUAAAGCCGCAGAGACCUCUUGCCUAACCGAACGCUGCAGCUCAGACUGCAUAUCCAUACAAGUUUCUAAAUUCCUCUGCAUAUGACUCAUUCCUUGUUGGAGUCUAGCCAUUUCUCCUCUCAAGUCGUUCAUCAUCUCCCAUCCCUAUUCACCAGCACCAUCCAUAUUAAGACAUUUUUAUGAGAAGACAACAUAACACAGAGCUGUUAAGAGAGUAUUAAAAGGCCUGAAAGUUCUAGGCUUACAAGUUCAGAUCGAUGCAGAGAGUGACGAGCGUAGUUGGUGUGGUGCCUUAUUGGCUGUGGUGGAGGCACUGGUGGAGUUGGCAGCGUUUGAUUGAUGCCAUCAAGCUGAUCCUCGUCCUGUAGAAACCGUUGUUGCUCUGUAUGAUGUUCUUGAGAAUCCGAUAUUGCUUCCCAGUCAACUCUCCGCUCUACAUAGGACUGUAUCAGCUGAUCCAGAUUUUCACGGAAACCACUGCGUAGAAGGUUAGAAACAUUUCUCCUACAGGAGUGAGAAGAAAACAAUUCCAUUAACAAAGAGAAUAUAUGCCAGGAAAACAGAAAAAACGAAUCCACUAUGUCAGUACCUGCUUAGUAGCUCUCGAAGCUCAAUGUUGUAAACAUUAUCGUCAUUAGGUAAAUGGAGCCUGUUUACUCUUCUCAUAGGUACUACACGGCGACUCCUAAGUGCUCCAAACCGUGUCUCUGGCCAAUUUCCGUCAGACUGUCUAGUGUUAUCUGCAGGCCAUACACUCUGAUCUUCUAUCAGAACAGUUGCAUCUGAAUUUCCAGUUCCAUCCUGGUGCAGGUCAUCAACUGAGUUUUCUUGUUCGUUGAUAACUGCGUUACCGUUAUCCCUUUCACUUAACUGGCUUAACGUUGCUUCCAGCAAAUUUCGCCUCUCGUCUGUUCUAAAAACUUCAGGCCAAACACUUUCUUGACUGGUGGUAUGUUCUUCCCAAUUUCUACCUACAUUUGUUCGGUUACUUCCCGACCUUCCCAAAUCGUUAGGUAAGAGUGGGGUACCAUUCCCCUGUCUUGAAGAACUCAAGCUCUCAUUUAGCCUCUGAGAAUCCUCAGUAGUAUUAGCUAUUGUUCGGUUAAUCCUGGAAGUAUUGAUGUUAUCGACAUUAGUAUUGUUUUCUAGCCUGUCACUGACUCCUUCCCUGUGACCAUCAAUAUCAAUAUCGAGGAAUCAGCUGCGAGUAAGCUAAAUGUGAAAAAGUUAAAGUCGAUAAAAUGAAAAAAUGCAAAGCCAAUCAUUAUAAGCAUAUCUUCAGUGAGCGCGGGAAGACAAAUGAGACGCAAGGAUAUAACAUAUACACACUUCACAAUCAUGAUUAUGUGACAAGUAUAAUCGAACAAGAAAGAAAUUUUUUUUUUUACCGCAAACCAGAAACUGUAUGCCUAUCUCUUAGCUGGCGAAGUUCACUUGCUGCCAUUGAUGGAGCUCUAACUUCCUCUGUACGUGGCUCAUUCCGCAAGAAUCUUCUUCUAAGUAGCAACUGUCGAAAGGUUUACAACCGUUAGAAAGAUAAGUUACAAGGACUUAAGGUCUAUCAUUACGUUAAUAUAUGGUGCUAGUAGCACAGUCUUAGCGUACAAUACGCCUUCCUUCUCACACCUUUGGUUCUGUCAAUCGGACUACAAACACCAGUAACGUUUCACUAUUAAAGGGGAAACGAGAAUUUUGGAAACAUAACCAGCAAAGAUGCUCCCAAACUCUAUAGCCCACUCUACAUUUUUACAGUUCAUCCUAUGUGCGGUCCAUAUAUUAUAAAGUUGUCCCCUCCUAUCACUAGUAUGCAAUAAACAUUAGAACAAAGAAGACAAAGAUGAUAGUCCUACUAACAAACCUGAAUCCGGUUGCGAUGAGAAAAGUCAGAGACUGCACGAUGAUCCAACAAACCCUGAAGCUCUCGCUGCCGCUCUUGUUCAAUCCUCAUGAGCAAAUCAACAAAUGCAUGCCUUCCUCGUAAUCUCCGCAAGUCUCUACGAGUAUCCUCCUGUCGCCCUUCCUCAUUCUCAACGGCUAACCCUUCACCGACCCUCUGAACUUGAGGCCGGUCAUCUUGUGAGCCAAGAGAUCGUUGUUGAUCUUCUCUUCGACUUGCACGAGCUCCUCUCUGCUGACUUGUCAUUUGCAUCCGUUCCCUGAUAACCCUGACUCUCUCUCUUUCAGUAUCACCAACCAACUCUCCUCUACGGUUAUCGUCUCUCCUUCUUACAUUAGAUACAUAAUCACGCACACUUUGUCUCACCCUCUCACUCUCAACAUCUCCAAGGUCUGGAGACUGUUCUCUACUGGAAUAUCUAUAACCAUUCUCACUCUCAGAUGCAUUAGCACUUCUUUGCCUCGGCCUCAGCCUCUCACGUGCCCUGUUGUGCACGUGUUCAUCUUCCAACUCUCUCCACAUCUGAAAAAUCUCAGAUGCUUGAGUUCUAGGCCUCUCUCGCCUCAAGGGAGGAGAGUGCGUCUCCUCCCUGAGGAAAGAAGAGUCAAGCGUAGAGACGGCAUGCAAACCAGCAAUAGCAAUAAGUUCGGACUCACGGUUCCUCCUCUCAAUAGUGGUAAUCAUCUCCUGAGCCUGCCUUGCAGCCCAACGGCUCAGAAUCCGAGACUGGCGCCUUCUCGCAGCAGAGGAUUCAGCAAUGUCAUCACCUUCGAGGUCAGACCUCCUUCUCCUCCUCAGAAGAUGUUCAUCCUCUUGAUCAUGAUCGUUGUCAGGAUUGUCAACCGAGCUGCACGACUCAAAUGAGAUGCAACCCUCAUUGAAAUCCUCAAAACGACGAUCCAUUGACUCCGUCUUUUGUUGCAAAGGAUCAUUAUCAUUCAUCCUCAAUUCCCUCACACUCAGAAUCUAAACCACAACAUCACAAAGUUCCCCGGGAAAAUAAAAAAAUCAAACGAUUCAAAAUUUUCACACACAAUCGUCCUCUAUAUUUUGAUCGAUCUCACCUGAUUACUACAAUAACAUCAAUCGUCACCUGAAAAGAGGAAAACAAUGUUGAUUAUCCCCAUGAAAAAUUCUAAGAAACAAUUAUGAAAUCAACCGGAAAAUGAUUAUCCAGACAUACCUCUCUAGAGAAAAUUGAUGAACACGACGAAAAAUCCGGAGAGAAAUUGAAGAAGAGAAUGGGCAGUUUAUAUAUGGCGCAAGAGAGAAGGUGACAAUUGUCAUAUUAGAUAGCGAAGAAAACAAAACAAAUUUUUUUUUAAAUUAUUAAAGGGUCACUGGUCACCACCAUAAAAUAAGAGCUGAUUCAAUGUUCUUCCUCACACUUGUCAGCUUCUAGAUUUUUUGAAUGGACCUUAGAGGAAGACAAAAAGAAGAUAAUGGAUUUUUUUCUUUCUGCCUAUGUAUGAUUCAGCAAAUGUCCUUAUAAUGUGUGGUAUUUACUUUUGUUAUUUAAUUAUUUUCAAAUCUUCAACCUGUUAUGUGCUACAAUCUGUCUUAAGUUUAUGAAAUGAAUACAAUUUAUGAGAUGGAUAUUUUAAGUGGUAAAAUCCAUGGGCUAAUUAAAAGAUAUUUAUAUUUUUUUGUAAGAAGAACAUAGUUUUAUAGUUUUUAUGAAACAGAAAAUAGAACAUGAUAUGUAUUUUCUUGAGGUAUUAAUUUUUAAAUUAAUGUUAAAAUAUUAUUAUUUAUGAAAACAUUAAAACUGUAGAGUGAAUAAAGUAUACUCCUUUUGUUUCAUAAUUGUUGUUUUAGAGUUCAAAAUUUGUUUCAUAGUGUUAUUUUAUAUUUUCAAGAUUUUUAUUUAAUAAUUUUUCAAAUUCUGUCUUUAUUCUUUUAGUUUAUUAAUGAGAAUAAUCAAAUAAAACAAACAUACUAAUUAGAGAUAAAAUAAUAAAUUUAAUAACUUUUUAAUCUGUUUGAAAAAAAAUAAAACGACUUAUGAAAUGAAAAUGGAUAAAGUAUUCAAUUCUAGCAGACAACCUCUACGACCCUUGCUUUUCCGGUGGUGGCGAGUAGCGCCGGUGCCGGAACCCCUAGUUUCCUCUUUCGUUUUGCCUCUCCUUGCUUCUCUCAUCAUGAAUCGAUAUAUCUUUUUCUCUGGAUUUGAAUUUGGUGUGGAUCCGCUUCUCAGAUGUUAGAUCUGGUGAAAAAAUGAGAUUUUGUUUAGGUGAGGGUAAGGAGGGGUCGGCUAUGGUUAACGAAGCGAUUUUCUCUUCAGUUCUACUUUCGGAGAGGGCUCAUAUAUCCGGCUAGACAUAUAGCCUCCGGAUCUAGUUGUUGGACUAGAUGUGGAUAUAUCUUACAGAUCCAUGGCGGCAGGGUGAAGAGAAAGACGGUGGAUGAGUUUCGUCGGAGCUCCCACCGUAGCUUCUUCUCAUACCUAUCUUUGGGUUGGGAAGCUUCUCGCCCUUCUCUCUCAGACGGUGGUGUGUGCCCUUGUUUCUCGAGAUCGUCUGUCACUGCGAACCAGCACCGGCAACAGUUGGUGUUUGUGCUUCUUCCUCUCAUCUAUUAUUGGUGGUCUCGCGACAGCUCGGUGACGAUUCCGAUGUGGACAGCUUCUGGAUCUUUUUCUAUUUCUCUUAGUUAUGGUUUUGUUUAUGGAGUUUCUGGUAGGCAGAUUAUCUUAGCUGUGGUGUACCUGUUGGUUCCUCCUGCGUGUUUCAUGGUAUUGUCAUGCGUGUUUCAUGGUGUUGGUUCUUGGAGUCUAUCGGUGGUUAGUGCAGUGACAUAUUCAGUUGCAAAAUUAUCUCCGGGUUAUGGUGGUUGCAAGAAUCUUUCGUCGUUUUGGUGUGUUAUUGUUUAUUCUGGUUUUCAGAUGUGAGCGGCGAAGCUUGGUUGUGUGGAGGUUUUGUUGGACUUCUAUCUAGAUGCAAAAGUGGGCGUCAAAUAGUGCGUUCAAGCCGUAUCCGAGAGAUGUUUGGAUUGUGAAGCGAUCUCUCUAGUCGGGUUAUGAAGUCUUGGUUCUGAGUUACGAGUGGGGAUGGUAUCGUUUGGCAGGCCAUAGGCGGCAGCGAUAGAUCCGGGUUGAGAAGGCGCGAUGGGGUCUUCGGGUUCUACAAGUGGAUGGUAUCGUGUGGCGUGCCAAGUGCAGCAUCGAUAUAUCCAGAUUCUCGUUACCUGUUAUUUAGCUUGGAGGUCUUUUGCACUGUUUGUUGCAUACUUUUGUGUAGUUAUGUAUUGUUAUUUUGCUUGUUAAGUUGGUGUUCAAAAGUUACUCCGGUGUGGGUUUUAGCUGCCUGUUCUUUGGGCUCUUGUCUCUGGGGAUGUUUUGUAUCCGCCAGCUUAUGUAUUGAACUGUCGUACUUCAGUUAUGAAUGAAUUUCAAUUUGGGAAAAAAAAAAG